CAGGCUUGCAAAAGCUCUGAAACCACUGUUUAUCUACCUGAAUCUGCUUCGGCGGGCGGCCCCAGGGCGGGGCCAUUGCCGCGAGGCGCCCGCCGAAGACCCCUAAACUCUGUCGUCUUGAGAAUCUCUGAGUAUCAUUUUAAAACAAAAAA
rnacentral:misc_RNA from 1 species